AGAGAAAUAAAAGACCAGGCAGUCUCUAAGAUUUUUCCAAGCAUGUUCUGUCCAUGUAUCAUCUAUUGAUCUUUUCUUUCUUUAAAAUUUAUCUGAUAAUGUGAGAAAAAAGAAUGUAUAAAUGUAUGCGUAACUGGCUCACCAUGCUGUACAGUAGAAAAUUGACAGAACACUGUAAACCAGCUAUAAUGGAAAAAUAUAAAAAUCAUUUUAUAUAUAUAUAUAUAUAAAGUUUAUUGAAGCAUAGUUGAUUUACAGUGUUGUGAUAAUUUCUGCUGAGUGAUUCAGUUAUAGAUACAUCCAUUCUUUUUCAGAUUCUUUCCCAUGUAGAUUAUCACAGAAUAUUGGGUAGAGGCUCCUGUGCUAUACAGCAUGUCUCUGAUCUUUUAUCUCAAUGGAAAGAAUUCUGUAGUAGCCUGGGAGAGUCAGUGAAAGUGGGACUGUAACUUCUCAAUGGAUAUGCCGACAAGAAGGGGAGACCAAGCAGUUGUGUCUUGCUAAGAUAAGCCUUCUCCAGUGGUCAGUUUUGAUCCUAGCCAUGGCAAACCAUCACUGCCAUCAUAGACACGGUGCAAAUGAAUUGAAACUCGUGAAGUUGUGCUCCACUAAGAAGAAACAGAGUAUAGAACCUUCCCUUUCAUUCUAGGUAACUAAUGAAUCCACUGUGCUCACUCAUCUAAGUACUUAGCAGGGUAUACGACCCUAGAUGCAGAGAGAAUGUUGUGCACAGUAUCUUCCCCAUUGGGAGUCUUAUUUUUUCUGACACAAACAGAAAUUUAUCCAUAGGGUCCUAUACUACUUUGUUUAUACCUUUCUUACUGAAGUAUAACAAACAUGUUGAAAAGUACACUAAUCCUCAAUGCAUACUCCCCUGAAUUUCCAUGAACUGUGCACAUCCAUGCAGUCAGCACUUUGAUAAAACAUAGGGUACUGCCAGCACCCCAAAGCUCUCAGUUCCCCUCACAGUCUCUGACCCCCACCAAAUAUCCUGGUUUCUAACAUCAGAUUUUAGUUUUGUCUGUUUGGGAAGUGUUAUAUAAACAGAAUCAUACAGUGUGUGUUCUCUGCUUCUGCCAUCUUUCCCUCAUUAUUAUAUUUGGCUUUUUUUUUUAAUUAUUAAAGUAUAGUUAGUUUACAGUAUUGUGUCAGUUUCCACUGUACAGCAAAGUAACCCAGCCAUGCACACAUACACCCACACACUUUCUUUUUGUCACAUUAUUUUCCACCGUGGUCUACAGGAGAUUAGAUAUAGUUCCCUGUGCCAUACAGCAGGACCUUGUUGCUUAUCCUUUCUAAAUGCAUCUACUAUCCCAAACUCCCAUCCAUCCCAGUCCCUCCCUCCUCCCUCUUGGCAACAACAAAUCUGUUUUCUAUGUCUGUGGGUCUCUUUCUGUUCUGUUCGUUUGUGCCACAUUUUAGGUGUGUGAAAUUCAUUCAUGCUGUUGCCUAUAGCAGUAGUUUGUUGAGAGCAUAUAUACAGGUUUCUCUUAGGGGUAUGCCUUGAAAUGGAAUUGAUAGGCCAUAGGGUUCAGCCUUAGUAGCUACUGACCCCAAACCAGUCUUCCAAAGACAAGUGUUAGCAGAUCUUUGGAGCAACUAGGAAUUUCACAUGCUGCUGCUAGGAGGUAAACUAGUUGUCCCAUGCAUGUGCUAACACCUGUCUUUUCAUUUUAGCUACUCAAGUGACUGUGCAAGGGUGUUGCAUUGGGAUGUUAACCUAUCUUUCUCUGAUGAGUAAGGAAGUGGAGCUCUUUUUGAUACCUGUAUUGGUCUUCCAGAAUCCUCUUUUUUGAAGUAUCUAACUGUAUCUUUUACUCAUUCCUCCUCCAUUGGGUUAGCUCUAUUUUCCUACUUUUGGGGAAUUUUCCAUGUACUCUUGUUAGAAAAAUACACUGCAAGUAUCAUUUCUCACUUUGUCUCUUGCCUUUUAAUGACACAUUUAAUGGUGUCUUUUGAGGAACAGUUUUCUUAAUUUUAAUGUAAUCUGAUUUAAUAUUUUUUCUUUAUAGUGAGUACUGUUAUAUCCAACAUAAAAAUUAUUUUACUAGCCCAAGAUUGUGUUACAUUCGUUCAUGUUUAGUUUUUAGUUUGUCCAGGAUUGAUUUUUAUCUAUCAUGUAAGAUAAGGGUCAGAUUUAUUUUUUUCCUCAUGUAUAUCCAAUUGACCUAUUAAUUGAAAAGACUAUUCUUUAUACUAAAGUUUCAUCUUUGUCACAGAUAGUUCUGUUCCUAUACCCUUAUUUCAGUCCAUUGACAGCCCAGUCUAUUUGUAUGUGUCUGUGCCAGUGUAUUAAUAACUGUAGCUUUAUUAUAAACAAUGAUACCUAUCACAGAUUGCUCUUGGAAUAUAGUGAAACAGUUAAAAUGCUUAGCAUAAGACCUGGCAGGUUGGGCUUUUGGCUCAGUUAAUGUAAGCUAUUAGAUAUAAGAGCCAAAGGUCAUUUGACAUCUUAUAGUCCUAGGCCCCCUUGCCCUCCUGUCAGCCAUACUAAUUUCUCUAAAACAUUUCUGAUGUUUCACGGUCAGCCAAGAAAUGAAAUGCUCUUAGGUCAUGAAUAUUUUGCAUAUACCCAUUCUGAGAUUAGGUCUACUGAGAGAAAGAAAACAGAAAACCACCUACAGAGUGCUAUAAUGUACUUUUCUUUGUCCUUCACAUUUGUGAAGGAUAGGAUAGGGAAAUUUUUUAAAAUGUAUUUUGUUAAUUUUUUUGGCUGUGUCCAUGACAUGUGAAAUUUCUCAGGUCAGGAAUGGAACCCACACCACAACAGUGACCCAAGCCAUAGCAGUGACAAGGUUGGAUCUCUAACCUGCUGUGCCACCAGGAAACUCCCAGAGCAAAUUGUUUUUAAUGUGACUUCCAUCUCCUUAGGUCUCAGUGAAUCCCUGUCUACUCUGGCCCUAUUUUCUUCAGUACAGGACCAAGACUUUUUGGCUUCUAAUUUCUUCCCUAUUGAAUGACAGGUCUACAAAUUCCCAUCAAGAGAAGAGCCUGAAGGUCCCCUCUGACUCAUUUCUCUAGGUACCUAACUAGUCCUGGUAUCAAAUGCCUUCAUCCUUCAAUUUUACUCACUUGACCAGUAUACAUGUAUAAGAUUAAUGAGUAAAGCAUAUCUGGAGUUUAGCACAUCAGAGUUAAAUUAUUUCUUAAUUGUUACCAAUUUCAGAUUUAUCAUAAGUUCUGGUCUAUAAUGGGUGUGGGGUGUGGAGGGGGACAAUAUAUGUAGCAUGUAUAUAUAUGUAAUAUAUAUGCAAUAUAUAUCCUUAUGUAUAUAACUGCUGAUAAAUUGACUUCUAUCAUUUUGGAAUAAACUGUAAUGAUGUCUUAAAAUAACUCACUUUCCCUGUUCAACCUCAUUCAGUCUGGUCUACUCAUUUUCUGAGCUUUGCUGGGUCUGAUGAGGUAUAGCAAAGAAAAAAAGCCAAACAUCACCACCCUCACUCCUUGCCAAAAUUAAAACAUAAAAAAAUUAAUUGCUUUCUUCCAAAGUUGAUGCCUGUAUUAUACACAUACAUAAGAAGGAAUUAUACAGACUGUGUAGAGAAUGCCUUUAAUGAAAAGAAAAAUAAGCCAAGUUAAAUUUCCUUUAGGAGACCACUCUCUUUGUACAGCAAACACAGGGUCUAUUAUAAGCUUAACUCAUUUUUGCCUUAGUUGUAAAUGAACUUGACUAACUGGGCUUUAGAUACUAUUCAACAUUACUGCAGAAUAACUAAGAUUUGGUUGUGCAAAUUUAGGUAAGGUAGGAGGUGGCAAAUUAACCCUGCUAAUGACUAGCCUGUGCUGAGGCUAAGCAAGUAAUCAGAUGUACACUUAAAAAAAAAAAAAAAAAA
rnacentral:lncRNA from 1 species